rnacentral:rRNA from 1 species
AACGUAGAUGACAAGCGUUAUCCGGAUUUACUGGGCGUAAAGCGCGUUCAGGCGGUUUGGCAAGUCGGACGUGAAAGGCUGGGGCUCAACCCACGAAGGCCGUUCGAAACUCUCGCUCUUGAGGGUCGAAGAGGAGCGUGGAAUUCCCGGUGUAGCGGUGAAAUGCGUAGAUAUCCGGAGGAACACCGGUGGCGAAGGCGGCUUCCUGGACCGAUACUGACGCUGAGGCGCGAAAGCUAGGGGAGCAAACGGG